rnacentral:rRNA from 1 species
UACAGAGGGGGCAAGCGUUGUUCGGAAUUACUGGGCGUAAAGGGCGCGUAGGCGGCCUGCUAAGUCGAACGUGAAAUCCCUGGGCUCAACCCAGGAACUGCGUCCGAUACUGGUUGGCUUGAAUCCGGGAGAGGGAUGUGGAAUUCCAGGUGUAGCGGUGAAAUGCGUAGAUAUCUGGAGGAACACCGGUGGCGAAGGCGACAUCCUGGACCGGUAGUGACGCUGAGGCGCGAAAGCCAGGGGAGCAAACGGG